UCCAUUGUGUCCCCAGUCCUCAUAUACUCCAGCACCACAGUCACUUCCUGUCGGACCUAAACCUAUGCACUACAUGGACUUUGCCUCUUCCCCAACCCAGCUCCUCGAUUCCUGUUCCUCAGUCUGUUCCACCGGUUAUCCUUCAACAUGGCCCUGAUGCUCACUGGUCCUUGGUCCCCAUCUUUGCGCUUAGCAUAGAGCUUCAGGACACUGGAUUUGGGGUGGAACCUUCCUUGCAUGGGGAUAUGAAAAUGGAGUAUGAAUAUGUAUGCUGGAGAAACAAGGAUAUUGCCUAUGGAGAACCGCUAUGCAUAAUGCAGCUUUUUCUGUUUCAUCUAGAUUCAUUCAGACACACACACACACACACCAAGAUUCAUACCAUCAUGUGCAUAGAAAAACAGGGCUAUAAAUCCCCUUUCACUCUCUCUUACUAACUCUCCUACAAACAGUCACACACACAGUCACAUAAAUGCAUUUCAGA